GCGUGCCUUUUGCAUAAUGAACCGGCGAGUUGUUGUCUGUGGCAAGGUUAAGCACUUCAAGUGCGGAGCCGUAGCGAAAGCGAGUCUUAAAAGGGCGAUUCAGUCGCAGAUAGUACGACGCGAAGCCAAGUGAUCUACCCAUGGCCAGGUUGAAAGGGAUGUAAAAAUCCCUGGAGGACCGAACUCACUAACGUUGAAAAGUUAGGGGAUGAGCUGUGGGGAGGAGUGAAAGUCUAAUCAAACUUGGAGAUAUCUCGUUCUCUCCGAAAUAGCUUUUGGGCUAGCCUCGAGUGAUUGCUUCACGGGGGUAGAGCUACUGAAUGGGGAUAGGGGGCCACCAGCCUACCUACCUCAACCAAACUCCGAAUACCGUGAAGUCUAUCUCGGGAGUAAGACUGCGAGCUAUAACGUCCGUGGUCAAGAGGGAAACAACCCUGAUCGCCAGCUAAGGUCCCGAAGUUCUGCUAAGUUCUUAAGGAAGUUGAAUUGCUGUGACAGCCAGGAUGUUGGCUUAGAAGCAGCCACCAUUUAAAAAGUGCGUAAUAGCUUACUGGUCGAGCAGUUCGGCGCCGAUAAUGACCGGGAAUAAGCAGGACACCGAAGCUGCGGAUUUGCAGACUGCUGCGGUGGUUUGCAAGUGGUAGGAGAGCGUUGCUAUCCGCGUGGAAGCCAUACGGUAACGAGUGGUGGAGCGAUAGCAAGUGAUUAUGCCGGUAUGAGUAACGAGAAAACAGGUGAGAAUCCUGUUCGCCGAAAGCCUAAGGUUUCCUGGGGAAGGUAAAUCCGCCCAGGGUUAGUCGGGUCCUUAGUCGAGGCCGAAAGGCGUAGACGAUGGGCAGCAGGUUAAUAUUCCUGCACCAUGUUGCUGGACGAAGUCAGUGACGCAUCUUCAAGGGUCAUCCCACGACUAGUCGUGUGGGUCCCGCAAGGGCGAGGCCGAUUUACGAUGCCGAAGUGGCUGGAGAAGAUGCCGAGAAAUAGCUGGCGUAGGUUGAAAGCAGCAUGUCCGUACCGCAAACUGACACAGGUAGGCGAGGAGAGUAUCCUCAGGCGCUCGAGAGAACCGUCCUUAAGGAACUAGGCAAUUUUCCCCCGUAAGUUCGCGAUAAGGGGUCCCUCCGCGUGUGCUUGAUUUAUCAGGUGCAUGGCGAGGGCGCAGAGAAAUGGCUCUGGCGACUGUUUAUCAAAAACACAGUUCUGUGCCAACUCGUAAAGAGGAUGUAUACAGAAUGACGCCUGCUCGGUGCCGGAAGGUUAAGGGGAGGGGUUAGCCGCAAGGCGAAGCUCUAAACUGAAGCCCCGGUAAACGGCGGCCGUAACUAUGACGGUCCUAAGGUAGCGAAAUUCCUUGUCGGGUAAGUUCCGACGUGCAUGAACGGCGUAACGACUGGAGCAGUGUCUCAAGGACGGACUCGGUGAAAUUGUAGAUGUGGUGAAGAUACCACAAUCCCGCAGCAACACGGAAAGACCCCAUGAACCUUUACUGUAGCUUGGUAUUGAUGCCUGGCAUGGCAUGCGUAGGAUAGGUGGGAGGCUGUGAAGCCCUGGUUCUGGCCAGGGUGGAGCCAACCUUGAAAUACCACCCUUGUUAUGUUAGUCACCUAACCAUGUCCCGUGAAUCCGGGCGUAGGACAGUGCUAAGUGGGCAGUUUGACUGGGGCGGUCUCCUCCCAAAGAGUAACGGAGGAGUUCAAAGGCACACUCAGCGUGGUUGGCAAUCACGUUUAGAGCGCAAGGGUACAAGUGUGCUCAACUGCAAGACUCAAUACGUCGAGCAGAUGCGAAAGCAGGACCUAGUGAUCCGGCGGUUCCGUAUGGAAGGGCCGUCGCUCAACAGAUAAAAGGUACUCUGGGGAUAACAGGCUGAUGACUCCCGAGCGUUCAUAGCGGCGGAGUCGUUUGGCACAUCGAUGUCGGCUCAUCACAUCCUGGGGCUGAAGGCGGUCCCAAGGGUCGGGCUGUUCGCCCGUUAAAGUGGUACGCGAGCUGGGUUCAGACCGGCGUGAGCCAGGUCGGUCCCUAUGUGCUGUGGGCGCAGGAAUCUUGAGGGGCCAUUUCCUUAGUACGAGAGGAUUAGGAAGUACUGACCUCUGGUGCACCGAUUGUUCCGCUAGGGGCAUAGUCGGGUAGCUACGUCGGGAAAGGAUAACCGCUGAAAGCAUCUAAGCGGGAAGCCCACCCCAAGAUUAGGAUUCCGUGGUCUUCGGACCUGAAGGGCCCUGGUAGACCACCAGGUUGAUAGGCCGGAGGUGUAAGUGCAGAAAUGCAUUCAGCUGACCGGUACUAACGCCCGAAGACUUGACC
rnacentral:rRNA from 1 species